UACGGAGGAUCCAAGCGUUGUCCGGAUUCAUUGGGUUUAAAGGGUGCGUAGGCGGAAUGAUAAGUCAGUGGUGAAAUCUCUUCGCUUAACGAAGAAACUGCCAUUGAUACUGUCAAUCUUGAGUACAUUUGAUGUGGGCGGAAUGAUUCAUGUAGCGGUGAAAUGCUUAGAUAUGACACGGAACACCGAUUGCGAAG
rnacentral:rRNA from 1 species